rnacentral:rRNA from 1 species
ACGCGAGGAACCUUACCAGGUCUUGACAUCCCGUGACAACUCUGGAGACAGAGCGUUCCCCUUCGGGGGACACGGUGACAGGUGGUGCAUGGUUGUCGUCAGCUCGUGUCGUGAGAUGUUGGGUUAAGUCCCGCAACGAGCGCAACCCUUGAUCUUAGUUGCCAGCAUUCAGUUGGGCACUCUAAGGUGACUGCCGGUGACAAACCGGAGGAAGGUGGGGAUGACGUCAAAUCAUCAUGCCCCUUAUGACCUGGGCUACACACGUGCUACAAUGGAUGGUACAAAGGGCUGCAAGACUGCGAAGUCAAGCGAAUCCCAUAAAACCAUUCUCAGUUCGGAUUGCAGGCUGCAACUCGCCUGCAUGAAGCCGGAAUCGCUAGUAAUCGCGGAUCAGCAUGCCGCGGUGAAUACGUUCCCGGGCCUUGCACUCACCGCCCGU